rnacentral:rRNA from 1 species
CAUAUCAAUAAGGGGAGGAAAAGAAAAUAACAAUGAUUCCCUUAGUAACGGCGAGUGAACAGGGAAAAGCUCAUCCCCGAAGCGGACUUUACAGUUCGCGGUGUGGGGUAUGGAUUAGUUGCUAUGGCCGUUCGGUCACCAAAUGGGCACUUUAAGUUUGUUGGAAUACAACACCAAAGAGGGUGAGAGUCCCGUGAAAGUGCUCUGGUGAUUGGCUAUGGCGCUGAUUCGAGAGUCGGGUUGUUUGAAAGUGCAACCCAAAGUUGGAGAUAUGUCUCUCCAAAAGCUAAAUAUGAGUGUGAGUCCGAUAGUAAACAAGUACCGUGAGGGAAAGUUGAAAAGCACUUUGAAAAGAGAGUGAAAAGUACGUGAAACCGUUGAGAGGUAAACGAAUGGACUGCCAUCGUGCUCGCAUGCCGCAUGUUUUCGGAUGUGCGGUGCUAAGAGCCAAAGUUGUCCCAGUGGCCAGUGACUUAGAUGCUCUCCUCAUCCUACUUCUCUCAGCCGGUAGAUGGCCCUAGUGCGAUUUGCCGGUGAGGAGUGCUAGCAGUUGACUCUAUUCCACAUUAGUGUGCCACUGGGGGAUAACAGCUUUGUUUCGGUGAUCCAUUUGACCCGUCUUGAAACACGGACCAAGGAGUUUGAUUAUGUGGCGAGUCAAUGAGCGAAUUGUAUGCUCUAAGGCGCAAUGAAAGUAAGCGGUCGUGCUCUGCCGCGGCUUUAAUGUGGUGAUGGGGCCUUAUCGGCUACUUGCAACCACGGGCAGGCAACCACUUAUGGGGUUGUUCUGACCUUGAGCCACGUGAUCAAGACCCGAAAGAUGGUGAUCUAUGCUCGGACAGGGCGAAGCCACGGGAAACCAUGGUGGAGGCCCGAAGCGGUUCUGACGUGCAAAUCGAUCGUCUGAUCCGAGUAUAGGGGCGAAAGACUAAUCGAACCAUCUAGUAGCUGGUUCCCUCCGAAGUUUCCCUCAGGAUAGCAAAGAUCGCGGAAACACAAAUUUUGCAGUUUUAUCGGGUAAAGCGAAUGAUUAGAGGCCUGGGGGAAGCCUAUUCCUCCACCUAUUCUCAAACUUUAAAUCGGUAAGAGGCUUUAGGUGUCUUAAUUGCACCUAGGCACUGCUUAUUUGACGUGAAUGCAAAGGUCUUUAGUGGGCCGUUUUUGGUAAGCAGAACCGGCGAUGAGGGAUGAACCUAACGUGGAUUUAAGGCGCCUAACGACGUGCUCAUGAGCAACCACAAAAGGUGUUGAUUGAUAUAGACAGCAGGACGGUGGCCAUGGAAGUCGGAAUCCGCUAAGGAGUGUGUAACAACUCACCUGCCGAAUCAAUCAGCCCUAAAAAUGGAUGGCGCUAGAGCACGUGGCCUAUAAUCCACCGUGAGCAGCUGGAGCUAGCAACUGCUAUUCGUUGCUGCGGUGGUCGCGUAGUAGUCUCUGCUAGUGCGCUGGUUGCCGUUGUUGACAUUAGUGGUGCAUGCUUGAUAUAGCUUGGUGCCCUGUCCACCCUCGAACCUUCGGGAUUGGGGAUGGCGUGUGCGGCCUUGCGAGAGUGCGUUGUCACACAAUUCUGCUCACGAGUAGGAGGGUGCAGAGGUCGCGUUGAAGUGUGGGCGUGAGCCUGCAUGGAGCGGCCUCUGGUACAGAUCUUGGUGGUAGUAGCAAACACUCAAGUGAGAGCCUUGAGGGCCGAAGCGGGGAAGGCUUCCAUGUGAACAGCAAUUGGACAUGGGUUAGUCGGUCCUAAGCAGCAGGCGAAAGCCGUUCCUUGUGAAUUUGAGGCCUAACCAACCUCAGUGCUGCGAAAGGGAAUCGGGUUAAUAUUCCCGAACCGUGCCUAUCGGUACACGGCGGUAACGCUAACACGCCUGGAGAUGGCGGCAGGACCCCGGGGAAGAGUUAUCUUUUCUUUUUAACAGACACCGCUUCCUUGGAAUGGUAUUAUACCGAGAUAAGGAGCACAGUCUGGCAGAGCACAGCAGCAUUUGCUGUGUCCCGCGUGGUCUUGACGUCCCUUGAAAAUCUGGGCAUGUAGAUACCAGUAGGCAUUGGCCGUACCCACAACCGCAUCAGGUCCCCAAGGUGAAUAGCCUCUGGCCUUGAAACAGUGUAGGUAAGGGAAGUCGGCAAAUAGAUCCGUACCUUCGGAAAAAGGAUUGGCUCUGAGGGUUGGGCGUAGCAAGCCUUAGACUUGAUGUCCUCUCGUUCAUUCGUUGGUCGGCACGGUGCCCUUCAUUGGGUGACGGGCCGCUGACGGGGGAUGGUGGCUGACUAGUCUCUGGUCACAGGCCGCGUACUUCUCUCCUUUAGGGUUCACGCUCUCUUGGAGGUUUGCGUGUUUGUCUGAUCUGCUAUGCGUUAAACAACCGAGCUCAGAACUGGUUCGGACAAGGGGAAUCCGACUGUUUAAUUAAAACAAAGCAUUGCGAUGGCUGGUGACUGGUGUUGACGCAAUGUGAUUUCUGCCCAGUGCUCUGAAUGUCAAAGUGAAGAAAUUCAAAUAAGCGCGGGUAAACGGCGGGAGUAACUAUGACUCUCUUAAGGUAGCCAAAUGCCUCGUCAUCUAAUUAGUGACGCGCAUGAAUGGAUUAACGAGAUUCCUACUGUCCCUAUCUACUAUUCAGCGAAACCACAGCUAGGGGAACGGGCCUAGCAAAAUUAGCGGGGAAAGAAGACCCUGUUGAGCUUGACUCUAGUCUGACAUUGUGAAGUGGCUCGGAAGGCGUAGAAUAGGUGGGAGCCACCAGCCCCUCGGGGCAAUUGGCAUCAGUGAAAUACCACUACUUUCGGUGUCAUUUUACUUAUCCAUUAAAGUGGAAAAGUCCUCUAACAAAGGACUCUUUUUGGCGCAAACUCAUAUAGUCUGCUUUGGUAAACUGCUCUACACCUUCGGGGUGGUGCCGCGUUGUGCUCUCAGUACGCUGGGUGGUGUCAGCGUGGUUGCUGCUCAGUUGUGUUGUGGGGUAGCGUCGCCACUGUGGGCUGAGUGAUUCAACCUGGAGAGAGUGUCAGGUUGAGAGUUUGACUGGGGCGGUACAUCUGUCAAAAGAUAACGCAGGUGUCCUAAGGCUGACUCAGUGAGGACAGAAACCUCACGUAGAGCAAAAGGGCAAAUGUCAGCUUGAUCUCGAUUUUCAGUGUGAAUACAGACUGCGAAAGCGUGGCCUAUCGAUCCUUUUGAUUUUAAAGGCUUUAAGCAAGAGGUGUCAGAAAAGUUACCACAGGGAUAACUGGCUUGUGGCAGCCAAGCGUUCAUAGCGACGUUGCUUUUUGAUCCUUCGAUGUCGGCUCUUCCUAUCAUUGCGAAGCAGAAUUCGCAAAGUGUUGGAUUGUUCACCCACUAACAGGGAACGUGAGCUGGGUUUAGACCGUCGUGAGACAGGUUAGUUUUACCCUACUGAUAAAUUUUUAUCAUUGUCGCAGUAAUCCCACUCAGUNNGAGAGGAACCGUGGGUUCAGACAUAUGGUGGCUGCAUCUGGUCGAACGGCCAAGGUG